rnacentral:rRNA from 1 species
GCAACGGUUACGCUGGCGCACCGUCCAUUGGAAUAAACCGGCCCAGUUCUCUACGGAGGCAGCAGUUGAGAAUUUGCACAAUUGGGCCAAAGCCUGAUGCAGCGACCGCCCGCGUGAGGGAAUGAACGCCUUCGGGUGAUAACCUCUUCAGCAGGGAAAGAAGCGAAAGUGACGGUACUUGCAGAAGAAGCACCGGCUAACUACGUGCCAGCAGCGCGGUAAUACGUAGGGUGCGAGCGUGUCUGAAUUAUUGGGCGUAAAGAGCUGUAGGCGGUUUGUCGCGUCUGCAGUGAAAAUCCGGGGCUCAACCCCGGGACUUGCUGUGGGUACGGGCAGACUAGAGUAUGGUAGGGGAGACCGGAAUUCCUGGUGUAGCGGUGGAAUGCGCAGAUAUCAGGAGGAACACCGAUGGCGAAGGCAGGUCUCUGGGCCAUAACUGACGCUGAGAAGCGAAAGCAUGGGGAGCGAACAGGAUUAGAUACCCUGGUAGUCCAUGCCGUAAACGUUGGGCGCUAGGUGUGGGACUCAUUCCACGAGUUCCGUGCCGCAGCUAACGCAUUAAGCGCCCCGCCUGGGGAGUACGGCCGCAAGGUUAAAACUCAAAGGAAUUGACGGGGACCCGCACAAGCGGUGGAUGAUGUGGUUUAAUUCGAUGCAACGCGAAAAACCUUGCCCACCU